rnacentral:rRNA from 1 species
UAGUCCACGCCGUAAACGAUGUUUGCUAGUUGUCAGGCCCAAAGGGUUUGGUGACGGAGAGAAAUCAUUAAGCAAACCGCCUGGGGAGUACGGCCGCAAGGUUAAAACUCAAAGGAAUUGACGGGGACCCGCACAAGCGGUGGAGCAUGUUGUUUAAUUCGAAGCAACGCGAAGAACCUUACCCACUCUUGACAUCCUCCUUGGGACUUGUAGAGAUACUUGUCUUCGGUUCGGCCGGGGGAGUGACAGGUGCUGCAUGGCUGUCGUCAGCUCGUGUCGUGAGAUGUUCGGUUAAGUCCGGUAACGAGCGCAACCCUUAUCGUAUGUUGCCAUCAUUCAGUUGGGCACUCAUGCGAGACUGCCGGUGAUAAGCCGGAGGAAGGCGGGGACGACGUCAAGUCAUCAUGGCCCUUACGCUCUGGGCUACACACGUGCUACAAUGGGAAGUACAGAGGGUUGCGAUACCGCGAGGUGGAGCUAAUCUCAGAAAACUUUUCGUAGUCCGGAUUGCACU